CCCGUGCAACAGGCCAAAAGCAGGCUGUCGACAAGCAAGGGAAGUGUGAGAGACAAGAGAAUCCAGAGCCAUGGGUGCAUGCAAAAACGUGAGCUCAUACCAACAAUAUACAUCACAAUGUCAGUUUUCAAUAUCGUGCAGCCCCACGCCAGAGGAAGCCUCCUACCAAAGAUGUACCUAUGUAUUUCUGCCACCGUCUCACCCUCAGGGUGCGCUUUUACCAGCGGUGGCAGUGUUGUGUCCUGCCACAGGGCACCUUUAAAGCAAGACACUGUGGACAGACUAAUCUUUCUGGCAAAAAAUGAAGUGGACUAGCUAAAAUUUGUAGCAUAUUAACAUUUUUUUUACUUACCUACUGUAAAACCAGUAGAUAAUUAAUAUUCAAUUAAUUUUAGUUUACAGUUUACUACUGAAAAAUGUCUGUGCUUUUGUGAUCCAUUUGUUUACUUUUUGUUGGUCUUGGUUGUACCUCCUCAAACAUUUGAGAUGUUUACUGUCCUGCCAAAGGAAUUUGAAUAUAGUAAACACAGCUUUUGGUUUUUAUUUACAAAUUACAUAUUUAAAGGGGCCAUAGAAUGGAAAACUGUAUUUUCCCUUGGAAUAGUUGAAUAAAAAGAGUUCAGUGUAUGUAACUGAUACUGUGAGCCUCAAUCUCCAUUGUUUCCUCCUUCAUAAGUAAAUCUUGCACACCCAAAAUACCCCUGAAAAACCGGCGAAUGCCAGCAAGCGCCAGAUGUUGCAUAACAUCUGGGAUGUUUCAGAAAAAACAAGUGAAUAAUGUUGUGUUUUUGUACAGUAGCCAGUGAGGCCUAGUCUUGCAUAGUAGGUCUUGAUUUAGCUCCCCACCCCUCUUCUGUGCUCGGGUAAGUUGUCCA